GCCUACGGGGCGCAGCAGUGGGGGAUAUUGCACAAUGGGGGAAACCCUGAUGCAGCGACGCCGCGUGUGGGAAGACGGUCCUCUGGAUUGUAAACCACUGUCCCCAGGGACGAAGAUGACGGUACCUGAGGAGGAAGCUCCGGCUAAAUACGUGCCAGCAGCCGCGGUAAUACGUAUGGAGCAAGCGUUAUCCGGAUUUACUGGGUGUAAAGGGAGCGCAGACGGCAAGGCAAGUCUGAUGUGAAAGUCCGAGGCUCAACCUCGGGACUGCAUUGGAAACUGUCUGGCUAGAGUGCAGGAGAGGG
rnacentral:rRNA from 1 species